GGAGAGUGUGAGAUCAGCAAAGUGGGUGACAAUACUUACGCAUGAUCAGUUUUAUGGUAGAAGAAACCCAGAAAAGAGUGCUUGAAAGAAAGGAUCAUGUCAUCAAUAUAGAAGGACAGGAGAUCCGUGUUUCGUUAAGAUGUGAAAAUGUUGCUGAAAGCGGCAAACAACCGAAAGCAUCUGCAAGUGAGAGUGCUAAAUGUGUGGAGAAGGUUUUUAAAUUGGACUAUUAUCUACUACGCUACUUAAAUGAAUGUAAAAAAAGGCAAAUUCAGACUUG